GCCUGGGUGGCUCAGUUGGUUAAGCAUCUGACUUCAACUCAGGUCAUGAUCUCACCAUUCCUGAGUUCGAGCCCCGCCUUAGGCU
rnacentral:tRNA from 1 species